rnacentral:lncRNA from 1 species
GUUGGCUCCAUUGGUCGUGCCCUCAUCUUAGAUUACCACCAUACCUUGUUGGCUCCAACAUCGCAUUCUUAGCUGGUUAGAGUUUAGUUUUUCAAAAUAAAUUUUACUGUAUGUUGAGGCAUAUUACUACUUUAAUUAUGCCUGAGAUUACUAAUCAGCAUCAAACCUAGCUGUAGAAAAUUUUUAUAAUCAGAAUUUGUGGCAAAUACCACAUUAGGGUGCGUGCAAAACUGUUAACAAUGCCAAUUUUUAAAAAACUCAUAUGAUUGAGGUUUUGCAAAAUUAUUGUUCACUGCAAUCAC